UUACAAUGGGCAUAAAUUCUGCGACACAAUUGCGAAAUUAUUUGUCUCUAAUUCUUUUUGAUGAUUAUUACAAUGAUAUAUCAAAUCAAAAUUAUUUCAAUGAUUCAAUUAGUAAUGUAGUAUUAAAAUUCGAUGAUGUAAAGAAAUUCAGUGAUAAUUUCGAUGAAUAUGCAAAUCGUAUGAAUGAAAAUGAACUUGUUUUUGAACGUACACGUAAGCCUAUAAAUGUGCUGAAAUGUAUGUUUUAUAUUGAGGAGAUUAAAUGCUUGUUAACACAAUUUCCACAGAAAAUUGAUCGCAAUUCAAUCCAAGAAUUUUGCAAUAUAGAAAUGUCUCACUAUGAGAAGCUAUCUUCGAUACGAAAUGAGUUGGACAGAUAUAGAGAGAAACCUGAAAAAGAACAGCUUUGGAAGAAGUUUGUACUUUCGAAGCACAACGUAUUCAACCUCGAAAAGAUGUAUGUUACACGAAUGUAAGUGCAUCAUUGGAUACAAUCGCACAAGAGGUACUGAAUUAUCUCAGAGUGAAGCAUCCGAACCAUUCGAUAUUCUCCACUUCUGAAGAAACUUUUUCCUAUUGGAAAAGCAACAAUAUCGCAGAUAAUCAUUGGGAUGAAACAGAAAGUACGCAGAUUAUGGAUACACUCCAGGAUAUAAUAUUUAGCAUCUUGAAUUUUCGAGCAUGUAUCUCCCCAUUUUCACCCGAAGAUAUCAAAUGGAUUUGUAUAGAUUAUGUAUUACAAAGUAAAUAUGGUCAUGAUAUCGUUGUAUAUACAAUAUUUCAUAGCGUGGCUAGAAGACUUGGUCUACGUUGCGAUCUAAUAGAUGUUUACGGUGAAAUCUGUAUAUUUUGGAAAUCAAAAUUCGUCAUGAAUAAUUUAGAAAAUGAACGA